GCGCAUUUUAAACUAAUUUAAUUACGAUUACCUUUCAGUUUGUUUCUAGUAUCUUUUAGUGGUGGACUGUGUUGUUUUUUCCAAUAUAAUUAUAUUAAUAUCCAGUAAACGCAUGAACGAGAUACAUGCAUUAAUAAUCUGAAGUUAAACCUAAACGUUUCGUCAACAUCAGCCGAUUUCAUCAGAUGGCGAUCGAGUAAAUCCAAACCACAAGCCAGAAUCCGUACCAGUUUAAAAGACAAAUACUCCAGGGGAAGCCUAGACAACGUAUCGAGAAUUCCUUGGGAGGAAUGUAAUUUGGAUGAAGAAUCGACUUUAAGAAGGACACGAAGUUUGGCCAUUUCACGAGAGAACUUGUUUUAUAGCCUGGAUUACAUCGAGACUACCGAGAAUCACAGAAGAAGAGCUCAACUUAUUCCACGUGCCAAACUUAUUGAGAAGUCAUUUAUUAAGGAUUCUAGAUACGAACCCUUUCAAGUGGAAAACAUUCGAGCGCCCGCCAAGAAAAUUCUCAAUAAACCGGAGGAAAUUCCUCCUGACUACAGUCCUUUACCACGAAAUAUUAGCCUCAAUCAUUUCCCACACGA